rnacentral:sRNA from 1 species
AAGUUUAUUUCUUAAAAUUUCAGAAUAGGUAUUGACAUAAUCACUACACUGGGGAAAAGGUAAUCAAAACGUUGUUGGCUUUAUUCCAUAACCUAGUAUGUUUUCGGUUUUGGUGCAAUCCUAGCCCACUGCAGCCUCCAACUCCUGGGCUCAAGCAAUCUGCCUGCUUCAGUCUUCCUAGUAGUUGGGACUACAGGUAUGCACAACAGCUCCAGGCCAACCUUUUUUAUUUUGAAUGCCGCAUAGCAGGAGAUUCCACAAUUUUUCUUUUCUUUCUUUCUCUCUCUCUCCUUCCUUCCUUCCUCUUUCUCUCUGUCUCUUUCUUGACAGAGUCUCGCUCUGUCACCUAGACUGGAAUGCGUGGCAUGAUCUUGGCUAACUGCAACCUUCGCCUCCCAGGUUCAAGUGAUUCCCUUGCUUAGCCUCCCAAGUAGCUGGGACUGCAGGUGCCUGCCACCACGCCUGGCUAAUUUGUGCAUUUUUAGUAGAAACGGGCUUUCACCAUGUUGGCCAGGCUGGUCUCAAACACCUGACCUCAAGUGAUCUGCCCAUCUUGGCCUCCUAAAGUGCUGGGAUUGCAGGCAUGAGCCACUGCAAGAAGUGUGAGCCACUGCGACAGGCCUCUUUCUCUUUUUGAGACAGUCUUGCUCUUUUACCCAGACUGGAGUACAGUGAUGCAAUCUUGGCUCACUACAACCUCCACCUCCCAGGUUCAAGUGAUUCUCGUGCCACAGCCACCGAAAUAGCUGGGAUUACAGGCGCCCGCCAUCACAUCUGGCUAGUUUUUUGUAUUUUAAGCAGAGACGGCGUUUCACUAUGUUGGCCAGGCUGGUCUCAAACUCUUGACCUCAAGUGAUCCACCCAUCUCAGCCUCCCAAAGUGCUAGGAUUACAGGCCUGAGCCACCGUGCCUGGCCAAGAGGCUCCAUGAUUUUCUAGUGCUGUACCUCUAAAGAUCCUUUUUGUUUUUUUUUAAACGGGGGACCUAAUACUUGCCAAGCCCUGUGUGUUAUUUGGAGAUCCAGAAAUGAACACCACCCAGGAACUUAAAAAACAAGAGAGGGAGGCAGAAGUAAAGAGGCCCAGGACAGGUCUCUCAAGGGGCACUGUCAUGUAUGAGUCUGCUUAGGCUGCCAUAACAAAAUACCACAGGCUAGGUGGCUUCAAGAGAAAUAUAUUUGCUGGAAGGCUGGAAGUCCAAGAUCAUGGUGCCAUCAGGGUUGGUUUCUGGUGAGGGCUCUCUUCCUAGCUUGCAGACAACUGCCUUCUCAAUGUGUCUUCACAUGGCCUUUCUUCCGUGCAUGAGUGAAGAGAAAGCUCUCUGGCAUCUCCCUUUUCUUAUAAGGGCACUAAUCCUAUCUGAUUAGGGCCCCACCCUUAUGACUGCAUGUAAACAUAAUGACCUCCCCAAAACCCCUACCUCCAAAUACCACCACACUGGGGGUUAGAGAGACAAUUCAGUCCAUAGCAGGCAGUCUAGGAAGAUUCUCACUCUCACAUGUUGUGUUGCAUUCCAGGCACCUGGCCAAGAGAAUACAGGUGGGCUCCCCAGGGUGCUGCAUCAUCACCAAGAUGCCUAUCUUGAGGGAAGAGGGUGAGUGAAGCCCAGGCCUUGGGCAGCCAGGGAGAGUGAAGGGGAGUGGGGAAACCUGGGCCUUCCAGGAUGCAGGGGGCUGGACUGAGCGUGCUGUAAACGGGACAGGAGCCUGGAAUCAGCUGGAGAACAUCUGCCCUCCAGCCCCUGACCCUAAGCAGUAAGAGGAGGAUCUUUCUUACUGGAAGCCCCUUCCUGCAACUCUGCCCAUGUGGGCAGAAUCCUGGGGUUUCACCUGAGCCUUCUGUUUGGGUGUUCUCGGGAUCCCGCUGUGUAUCCAAGGAAGGUUCUGGGGUGCGGACGCCCAGCCUUCCUUGUUCCCCUCCCAGAUGAGAUUGAGCCACGCCCAGUGUUUGAGAAGAAGCCCCUGGUAUGGGAGGAGGAUAUGGAGCUCUAUUCGAAGUUCCUGGACCGGAAGGAGGAGCUCCGGCUCGGCCACGCCAGCUAUCUGCGGCAGCACCCCGAAGCCCACGCGCUCAUCUCCGACUUCCUGCUCUUUCUGCUGCUGCGCCAGCCGGAGGACGUGGUCACCUUCGCUGCCGAGUUCUUCGGCCCCUUCGACCCGUGGCGUCCGUCGUCACCGGCCUUGGGCUCCUCCCACCGGCCCAACCCUUUCCGCUCCCUGGAGCCGGAGGGAGACGCCCGCUCGGGGGCGGCCUAAGCGGGGCCCAGGCCGGGACAGGGCAGGAAACCAGGGGUAGGGCUGGGACGCGGGUGGGACGCGGGUGGGACGCGCCGGGGCGGGUGCGCUUUCCGGGCUGCGGUUUUGGGGGAAUAAAAGGGGCCCUCCCGCGGCUCUGC